rnacentral:snoRNA from 1 species
AAACCGUGAUGUGGACACUCUAAGACAAAGUCUUUGAAAUGUUCCAUGCAUCAAGAAAAUGAUUCAUUGGGUCUUUGGUGAAACUAAAAAAUGUCAUUCCUAAGCUU